AAGAUGAAGCCCUUCGUAAUAGGAUUAGUGGCGAACGGGUGAGUAACACGUGGGCAAUCUGCCCUGCACUCUGGGACAAGCCCUGGAAACGGGGUCUAAUACCGGAUACGACCACCGGCCGCAUGGUUGGUGGUGGAAAGCUCCGGCGGUGCAGGAUGAGCCCGCGGCCUAUCAGCUUGUUGGUGGGGUGAUGGCCUACCAAGGCGACGACGGGUAGCCGGCCUGAGAGGGCGACCGGCCACACUGGGACUGAGCACGGCCCAGACUCCUACGGGAGGCAGCAGUGGGGAAUAUUGCACAAUGGGCGAAAGCCUGAUGCAGCGACGCCCCUGAGGGAUGACGGCCUUCGGGUUGUAAACCUCUUUCAGCAGGGAAGAAGCGGAGUGACGGUACCUGCAGAAGAAGCACCGGCUAACUACGUGCCAGCAGCGGGGGUAAUAUG
rnacentral:rRNA from 1 species